rnacentral:rRNA from 1 species
CAGCCGCCGCGGUAAUACAGAGGGUGCAAGCGUUAAUCGGAAUUACUGGGCGUAAAGCGCGCGUAGGUGGUUUGUUAAGUUGGAUCUGAAAUCCCCGGGCUCAACCUGGGAACUGCAUCCAAAACUGGCAAGCUAGAGUAUGGUAGAGGGUGGUGGAAUUUCCUGUGUAGCGGUGAAAUGCGUAGAUAUAGGAAGGAACACCAGUGGCGAAGGCGACCACCUGGACUGAUACUGACACUGAGGUGCGAAAGCGUGGGGAGCAAACAGGAUUAGAGACCCCUGUAGUCCCUGUCUCUUAUAC